rnacentral:lncRNA from 1 species
GCGGAAGACUUAAUGACCAAAGCUUGAAGACUCGACCCAUGUGACAGCACCAAGUGGCAAAUGGUGGAACCGAGGCCGGGAGCGAGCUUCAACGACUGUCACCUGGAAGGAGUGCUCAGGGCCUGGACAAACUUAAGACUGCCAUGUGUCCUCUUCACUGCCCUCUCGGUGGGAGGCCAGACAGGGCACACUGCCGUUGUUAUUUUGCCUAUUUACGGAAGGUACUUAAUGCAUAUGGCACAGAACUUCAAAAGGAACACUGUUAUUUUUCUUAUCUUCUUGGAACUGAGUGCUUCAAGCGGGCCAGAAAUCAACCUACGAAAUAUGUACUUAGGAUACACUUAUUUCAGCAAACUGCUGUGUGUCUGUGUUCAACUCUAUGAGUGGCUACCUUAAAAAAGGACCAGGUUUGGCAAGUCACAAAACAGUAUGUGUUUUCUUCACUUGCGAUACUUGAAACAGUCUGCGUAUUCUUGAUAAUUCUUCAAACACUUGCAUUUAGCACUUUGAGGCAAGUAUGAAUAAUUUGUUUCUCUUGAGGCACUAAGUCUUCUCUGAUAGUAAACUAAGAAUCUUGAGACUGGAUUAAAACUGGUUGUGAGUUCAAUGUAGUGACCGAAUUAAGUUCUGCACUAAGUCAGUCCACGCACACCUCUGUGUUGUUGAGGGGCGAGGCUGGAGUUUGGGAGGUUAAAGGUUGAGAAGAGCCAGAGUGGUGGUGUCACUGAGAUGGAAUGAGAGGUGAAUUUAUAGAAGAUCCCAUUCUAUCAGGACCUUUUAAAAUUUUCUACAGACUUUCUUAGAAUCUGUAUGUUUUAUGCAAGUUCUCUGUUCUGCUCCCCUGUAACUUAGAGGUUCAGAGCAUGGCCUUUGCAGGCAGCAGAGCUGAGUUCAAGUCUGAAACCUGUGUGCUGUGUGAUUUUGGGAAAGUUACUUAACUUCUCUGGCCCAAAU